GAGUUUGAUCCUGGCUCAGGAUGAACGCUGGCGGCGUGCUUAACACAUGCAAGUCGAGCGAAGCACUUAUCAUUGACUCUUCGGAAGAUAUGAUAUUUGACUGAGCGGCGGACGGGUGAGUAACGCGUGGGUAACCUGCCUCAUACAGGGGGAUAACAGUUAGAAAUGGCUGCUAAUACCGCAUAAGACCACAGCACCGCAUGGUGCAGGGGUAAAAACUCCGGUGGUAUAAGAUGGACCCGCGUUGGAUUAGCUAGUUGGCAGGGUAACGGCCUACCAAGGCGACGAUCCAUAGCCGGCCUGAGAGGGUGAACGGCCACAUUGGGACUGAGACACGGCCCAGACUCCUACGGGAGGCAGCAGUGGGGAAUAUUGCACAAUGGGGGAAACCCUGAUGCAGCGACGCCGCGUGAAGGAAGAAGUAUCUCGGUAUGUAAACUUCUAUCAGCAGGGAAGAUAGUGACGGUACCUGACUAAGAAGCCCCGGCUAACUACGUGCCAGCAGCCGCGGUAAUUC
rnacentral:rRNA from 1 species